rnacentral:rRNA from 1 species
AGUAGUUUGAUCAUGGCUACAGAACGAACGCUGGCGGCAUGCCUAACACAUGCAAGUCGAACGAAGCCUUCGGGCUUAGUGGCGCACGGGUGCGCAACACGUGGGAAUCUGCCCUUCGGUUCGGAAUAACAGUUAGAAAUGACUGCUAAUACCGGAUGAUGACGUAAGUCCAAAGAUUUAUCGCCGAAGGAUGAGCCCGCGUAGGAUUAGGUAGUUGGUAGGGUAAUGGCCUACCAAGCCGACGAUCCUUAGCUGGUCUGAGAGGAUGAUCAGCCACACUGGGACUGAGGCACGGCCCAGACUCCUACGGGAGGCAGCAGUGGGGAAUAUUGGACAAUGGGCGAAAGCCUGAUCCAGCAAUGCCGCGUGAGUGAUGAAGGCCUUAGGGUUAUAAAGCUCUUUACCAGGGAUGAUAAUGACAGUACCUGGAGAAUAAGCUCCGGCUAACUCCGUG